AAUUAAAAAAAAAAAAAAACUUGGAGUACUCUCUAAUUAAAAACAUAGGAGAAUCCAAAAAGUGCGAAGAGUUAAAAAUUUUUGUUAUUUUUAUCUUUUUGGUAGAUACUCCUUGCAUUAUUUUCUGUCCUUUUUUAAAAAAAAAAUAAUUAUCCUUUGUUCAUAUUUCUUUUUGGGAAGUCAGUACUUUGCUAGUUUGCUCUACUUAGUUUGACAUUAUUGUUGUGAAGGCUGAAGAAGCUG
rnacentral:misc_RNA from 1 species